rnacentral:rRNA from 11 species
GUUCAUAGCUGUGUAAACACACUCAAGGCAUCAGAUCCCAUUUGAUUUGAAAGCUAAGCAGGCUCAGCCCGGGUUAGGAGUCGGAUGGGAGACCAACACAGAACCCCAGGUGCUGUAGGCU